UGUUAAAAUUUUUAUUCAUUUUUACUAUUAAAAUUUGAUGUGAUUGACGAAAUAUCGAAUUUCAUGUGGCGUAUUACGUGUACUUCAUACUAACGUACGUUGACUAUUUUAUAAAAGUAAAAAUAGAUAAAUUUUUAACA
rfam:Gossypium arboreum cultivar AKA8401 contig_53708_1, whole genome shotgun sequence.